rfam:Gossypium raimondii Chr11_contig_20, whole genome shotgun sequence.
UAUUAAAAAUUCCAUCCAUAUUUUUCUGUUAAAAACUAACUUUGUUGACAAAAUAACUAGAUAGUUAUCCGUGGCAUGCCACACGUAUAUUAUUCUAACAAAUGACUAAUUUUUAACAAUAGAAUAGAUAGAAUUUUUAACA